GUUGUAGGCAUGUAUCUUAGGCAAAUCCGGGGUACUCUAUGCUGAGAACUGAUAGCAAGCUGUACUUGUACAGUGAAGUGGCUGAUACCAUGCUUCCAGGAAAAGUCUCUAAGCUUCAGUUACACAGGAAUCGUACCCGAAACCGACACAGGUGGUCAGGUCGAGUAGACCAAAGCGCUUGAGAGAACUCUGCUGAAGGAACUAGGCAAAAUGGUACCGUAACUUCGGGAGAAGGUACGCUGUUGUCUGUGAUAGGACUUGCUCCUUGAGCGGCCGACAGCCUCAGAAACCAGGCCCCUGCAACUGUUUAUUAAAAACAUAGCACUCUGCAAACACGAAAGUGGACGUAUAGGGUGUGAUGCCUGCCCGGUGCUGGAAGGUUAAUUGAUGGGGUUAGCGUAAGCGAAGCUCUU
rnacentral:rRNA from 1 species